UACAGGAGGUGGCAAGCGUUGUUCGGAAUUAUUGGGCGUAAAGAGCUCGUAGGCGGUCUGUCGCGUCGGCUGUGAAAUCCCGAGGCUCAACCUCGGGUCUGCAGUCGAUACGGGCAAACUGGAGUGUUGCAGGGGAGACUGGAAUUCCUGGUGUAGCGGUGAAAUGCGCAGAUAUCAGGAGGAACACCGGUGGCGAAGGCGGGUCUCUGGGCAACAACUGACGCUGAGGAGCGAAAGCGUGGGGAGCGAACAGG
rnacentral:rRNA from 1 species